UUAUCAAAAACAUGUCUUUUUGAAUUUAUUUAAAGUCUAACCUGCCCAUUGAUAAUUUUAAAAGGCUGCGGUAUUUUGACCGUACAAAGGUAGCAUAAUCAUUAGUUUUUUAAUUGAAAACUUGUAUGAAUGGUUUAAUGAGAUAUAUACUGUUUCAUAAAAAAUUAAAUAAAAUUUUAUUUUUUAGUUAAAAAGCUUAAAUAAAAUUAUAGGACGAGAAGACCCUAUAGAAUUUAAUAAUUUAAUUAAAUUAUUUAAUUUAUAUUAAUUUGUUAUAUUUUAUUUAAAUUAUUUUGUUGGGGUGAUAGUAAAAUUUAAUUAUCUUUUAUUUAUUUAAUACAAUAAUAUUUGAUUAAUUGAUCCAAUUUUAUUGAUUAUAAGAUUAAUUCUCUUAGGGAUAACAGCGUAAUUUUUU
rnacentral:rRNA from 1 species